rnacentral:rRNA from 1 species
CACGUAGGGCGCAAGCGUUGUCCGGAAUUAUUGGGCGUAAAGAGCUCGUAGGCGGUGUGUCACGUCGUUCGUGAAAACCUGCAGCUUAACUGUGGGCGUGCGGUCGAUACGGGCAUCACUGGAGUUCGGCAGGGGAGACUGGAAUUCCUGGUGUAGCGGUGAAAUGCGCAGAUAUCGUAAGGAAGACCAGUGGCGAAGGCGGGUCUCUGGACAGUUCCUGACGCUGAGACACGAAGGCCAGGGGAGCAAACGGG